rnacentral:lncRNA from 1 species
GGCUAGUGCAGUGCUUAUCUUCUCCUCUUCAUACUCUUGUAAUAUGUCCAUAUAGUCGGUGAUUUUCUUUGAUUUUUUGGCUGGUCUAGCUUGAGAUGUAGCGAAUAAAUUUCUUUUAUUCGUGCUUGUGUAGCUUGUGCUGGAGGAAGUUGGAGUACUUAAGUUAGUCAAAUUACUACUCUCAGUAUCAGUAGUUGAUAACAUCAUAUUUUCAACAAUACUAUGAGUGCCUUGAAUUGCUACACCAUUGUUUUCUUCCAAUUCCAAUAAGGCGGCAUCGGUAUCUAAUGAAUUUUCUAUAAUUCCAUCUAGCAUGUUUUCAGGUGAAGUUCCAGUCACAAUAGCUAGCGAACCAUCUUCCAUAACUUCGUAACUACCGUUCGUUGUAUUCUAAAAUUCAAAAUAAAAAGAAACUCUAAGGUGACUAAAUAUGAAGGGCGGAUCUACGGACACCCUGUAUACAGAAGUUGGCAUAGAUACAGCGUUUUGUACUUAAUUCAAUAGGCCAAUCCGUUUUUUGCCGUAAAAUACUAAACUUGGUGUUUUUUAAAUGGGACACCCUGUAUAUAGAGAUGCAACAACGUGAAAACCUCAGAAUACAAAUUCUGGGGUGAAAACUGAUGCAAUUUAUGUCCCCUUCCGAAUUCGAAUUAAAUAGUAAUCAAGAAAUCUACAAUAAUAUAUAGUGCGUUAUUUUCACUUCUUGCCGUUAGAUGGCUAUAAGGUUUUUGACGCCAUGUUUUCUCCAAUAUACUACUACCGAAAUGGUGAUCCAUGCGUUGUUGAGUUAUGCGGCUCCGAACACAUUUUACGAUUCAUUUUUAUAUUAUAGAUAAAUGUAAUUUCAAAAAGUCCCCCCCAAAAUUUUUUCUAGAUCCGCCCCUGCUAAAUAUGUAGUAGAACAUACGUCCUAUAUACUCACUUGUGGAUUAACUGUAGGUGUAAAACCUGUGUCUGAGCCAGUAUUUUCGUAUAUCGAAACAUGCGACAUUUCAUUAUUGGAUUGAUUACCAUUGCCACGAUCUAACUUGCAGACGUUUCUUAAAAUGAAAGUACGGGACGGGGUUAGUUAUCAGCCGAUACAAAUAUCAAUUUCAGAGAAUAAAUCUCUAUAGCUAUCCAGCUAAAAUUAAUUAAAAUAUUUCUUCUUACCUGUGACUUUGCAAUCUUGCUGCAGCUGUAUUUUUUAUCACAUUUCCACAUACACAACAUUUAGCCGCGUGCUUUCCUUCUAUCUUUAAUACUUUGAAUGAUAAUAUAUCAUAGUUUUUAUUCAGUUUUCUGCCACUCAUUUUGAUUCUGAUCAGAUCAGAUCACAUUCAAAGUUUACAACUGAAUAAUUUCAUAACAUAACCUCACUUUUUUCCAUUAUGGACACGUUGCUGACAUUGUCGACAUUGUCGACAUUGUUGACACGUUCUCGACAUUGUCGACACGUCUGUGUCGACAAUUAAAGUCGACGUGUCGAUGCCCAUCUCUG